UUGCAAUUAGGUGGCUUUAUCCUCAAUUUUCAUUGUAUCAUGUCUUCACUUACAUUCAACAAGUACGUAGCUCUUUCUCUAGUUGUAAGAUCUGAUCCUAAAUUUAACCUUGAUGGUGCUGAAACUGCGAAUGAAUUCUGGGCACUUCAUGUUCAUAUGACACUUGUGAAAAAUGAAUAUUUGGUACGGUGUCGCAAAACCUAUAAUAUUCUUGGUAAUUCAGAAAAAACAAAGAUUGCAUUCUGUUUAACAUUUGUAUGUGAAACAUCAUGCCUCUAUCACUACUUGUGUAAUCUCAAUGCAUUGUGUAUUAACAGUUCAUUUUCUUAUUUACUUUGUAGAUUCAGAAGAUAUAUGGAUGAGGCAAUUAUACUUCAAUGAUGGUGAUGGUGUUCUGGUUCAUGAUGAUGAUGACAGAUGCUUUUAGUUUUAGUUAAGUUAGUAGGGAUUUUGUUCCUCUUGGAUCAUGUUGCUCGAUUAAGUUUUUGUUAAGUUGUAGGGAUGUUGAUGGAUGGUUUCAAUUUAAGUUUUGUUGUCAAGAGAAUAUUUACAUUAUGCAUCACAUUUGGAUGAUGUUCCUCCUGUAAUAUCCCCUAUUGUAAUCCAAAAGUUUAUCCAAUAUAUGAUUUCUCUCUUUCGUACAUAUAUUCUCUUAUCUUUUGCUCAUUUACUAUAGAUAAUGAGAAGCAUUAUGUGGAACAUUAAUUUAAUUGAUGGGAAGAAUAAGCG
rnacentral:lncRNA from 1 species